GGGGCUUACCGGGAACUGGAGUGCGCCCCGAGGCCUUUUGCGCAGGCGCCGAAGCCCCACUGUGAAGUACCGUUUUUUCAGGCACAAGGAAGGUUUCACCCCGUUGCCAAAAGACUAAGCGUCCCGUUGGCCAGUGCAACGAAGAACAGAGGAAGCGACGCAGUGGCCUUGUGUGGGCCUUCAGCUUCCAGUUCCAUGGCCUGGUGGAGGACCCUGUGGUGCAAGUCUUCCUCCAGACCUGCCUGGCCUGGGGCCCAAGACUGGGAAGCCUUUGAAGAUUUCAGUUCCUAAGUAGUGAGAGCAAUGAUCUUGGCUUUGCGUGAUGUUUAGGAAGCCUUCCCCACUCCCAAACCAGAAGGGAAUCCAUCCAGAUUUUCCUCCACUGUCUGGGUGGCCGCUCUGUGGAUGUUUCCAUCUCUAUCCAUUGCCGGCACCUGGUGAGGGAUAUUGCUCAGCCAAAGGGCCAGCAUCCCAAUGAAGAAGAUCAGAAAGAGGCUUCCGAUUCCGUCUCCAGAGCCUUUGAGGUCACUCCUGAUGCUGACAUGGCUGUGAAGAGCUGGGUGCCAGGCAUUACUGCCUCCAAGGUUGCUUUGCGAGGAAUAGGUGGGGCAUCAGGAAGAAGCCAGCUGCAGGCAAGGCCUCUGCUGAUGCUGCUUUUUUCUCCUCUAGCCAUGCAUGGGAGGGAGCUGUGAGACGGCCUGCCAGAACCCACUCUCGGACCCCACAGAAUGAGAGGCUCACCCUGCCAAGGAACAUCCUGGGGCAGCAGGCUCAGCACAUUUUAAAUUUUGAGUAUGAACAAAGUAAACUUCAGGGUU
rnacentral:antisense_RNA from 1 species